rnacentral:rRNA from 1 species
UACGAAGGGGGCUAGCGUUGUUCGGAAUUACUGGGCGUAAAGGGCGCGUAGGCGGCGUGUCAAGUCAGGCGUGGAAGCCCCGGGCUCAACCUGGGAACCGCGCUUGAGACUGGCAUGCUCGAGUUCGGGAGAGGAUGGUGGAAUUCCCAGUGUAGAGGUGAAAUUCGUAGAUAUUGGGAAGAACACCAGUGGCGAAGGCGGCUCACUGGCCCGUAACUGACGCUGAGGUGCGAAAGCGUGGGGAGCAAACAGG